rnacentral:rRNA from 1 species
CAGUAGCGUAUAUUAAUUUUGCUGCAGUUAAAGCGUCCGUAGUUGAGUUUCUAAGUUACGACCUGGUGUAAUGCAAGGUUCGUGGCUUGUGCUUUCUGGCACAUGUUACUUUGAGUAAAUUGGCAUGCUCCAAACAGACUUACGUCUGAACAUCUCAGCAUAGAAUAACAAAAUAGGACUGUGUUCUUUUUGUUUGGCUAUUGAUUACAGUAAUGAUUGAUAAGGGUGUUCGGGGGCAUUUGUACUCGCUGGAGAGAGGUGAAAUUCUAAGACCCAGUGAAGACACACGAAUGCGAAAGCAUUUGCCCAGUGCAUACUUUUUAA